rnacentral:rRNA from 1 species
UACGAAGGGGGCUAGCGUUGUUCGGAUUUACUGGGCGUAAAGCGCACGUAGGCGGAUCGUUAAGUCGGGGGUGAAAUCCUGGAGCUCAACUCCAGAACUGCCUUCGAUACUGGCGAUCUUGAGUCCGGAAGAGGUGAGUGGAACUCCUAGUGUAGAGGUGGAAUUCGUAGAUAUUCGGAAGAACACCAGUGGCGAAGGCGGCUCACUGGUCCGGUACUGACGCUGAGGUGCGAAAGCGUGGGGAGCAAACAGG